rnacentral:rRNA from 1 species
GACGAACGCUGCCGGCGUGCCUUAAUACAUGCAAGUGGGACGCAAGGGAACACACUGUGCUUGCACACCGUGUUUUCUUGAGUCGCGAACGGGUGAGUAACGCGUAGGUAACCUGCCUAUUAGCGGGGGAUAACUAUUGGAAACGAUAGCUAAUACCGCAUAAUAUUAAUUAUUGCAUGAUAAUUGAUUGAAAGAUGCAAGCGCAUCACUAGUAGAUGGACCUGCGUUGUAUUAGCUAGUUGGUAAGGUAAGAGCUUACCAAGGCGACGAUACAUAGCCGACCUGAGAGGGUGAUCGGCCACACUGGGACUGAGACACGGCCCAGACUCCUACGGGAGGCAGCAGUAGGGAAUCUUCGGCAAUGGACGAAAGUCUGACCGAGCAACGCCGCGUGAGUGAAGAAGGUUUUCGGAUCGUAAAGCUCUGUUGUAAGUCAAGAACGUGUGUGAGAGUGGAAAGUUCACACAGUGACGGUAGCUUCCAGAAAGGCGG